rnacentral:lncRNA from 1 species
GCUAAGACACUUAAUUUUGGCGGCAAAAUACAGACCUAGGGCUUUCACUCACUCUCUCUCUCUCUCUCUCUCUCGCUCAGCUUAGGGUGAGUUGAUUUUGAAGAGGGUUUAAUCGAUUGUAAUUUAGGGUUUAAAAAAUGGAAGGAGAUUCGUCUCCGUUGAUAAGACCCAUCAACAGAGCCGUCGUUCACAGAAUCUGCGCGGGACAAGUCAUCUUGGACCUCUCCUCCGCCAUCAAGGAGCUUGUGGAGAACAGUCUCGACGCCGGAGCCACCAGCAUAGAAAUCAACCUCCGUGACUACGGCGAAGACUACUUCCAAGUCAUCGACAACGGCUGCGGCAUUUCCCCAUCCAAUUUCAAGGUUACAAUCUCCGACGAAUUGCUAAAAAAAAAAUUUUUAAAAAUAAAUAUUAAAAUUUUCAAAAUAAAAAGAAACUAUCUUGGUUAUUUUUUUUAUUGAAUGCUAUUUUUGUGACAAAAACUUAAAAAUGGCUAUUUGAAAGAAUUGCACUAAAUUUUAAUAUAUGCACUAUUUAAAAUAUUUGUUUAUUUUGCAUGAAACUUUUUAAGAAUAAAUUAAUGUUUUGUUAUAUAAACGUUAAUUUAGUUAAAUAGAUUUAUAACUAAAUUGUAUUUAUUUAUUAAAAAAAAUAAUUCACAAAACAAAAUGCUUUCUGUUUAGAACUCCUGGUGACUCGGUGGUAGGUAACCUUGCCACACAGAACCAUAUAAGUUUUAAGUAUAUCGCGCACUUACACAAAAAGGUAAAGUAUCUGUUUUAUCAAAGUUAAAGAAAAAAAAGAAGUAGCUGUAUUACUAUUAUGUAUACGCAGUCAUUUUAGGUACAAAGAGAAGAGAUUUUAGGGAAAUCUAAGGAAGAAGAAACCCGAAUUGCCCCUAAAACCUAAAUUAAGUUAAUCUAUUACGCGGCCCUUCCGAAUACUAGUAACUAAGCCCAAUGGUCUUAACCGUUAAUAAAAUGCAAUGGGUUGACAAAUUAAAGAAAAUUAAAAACGCAAAUCGCGUCCACGCCGCAAAUCCCCAAACGCUAAGACACUUAAUUUUGGCGGCAAAAUACAGACCUAGGGCUUUCACUCACUCUCUCUCUCUCUCUCUCUCUCGCUCAGCUUAGGGUGAGUUGAUUUUGAAGAGGGUUUAAUCGAUUGUAAUUUAGGGUUUAAAAAAUGGAAGGAGAUUCGUCUCCGUUGAUAAGACCCAUCAACAGAGCCGUCGUUCACAGAAUCUGCGCGGGACAAGUCAUCUUGGACCUCUCCUCCGCCAUCAAGGAGCUUGUGGAGAACAGUCUCGACGCCGGAGCCACCAGCAUAGAAAUCAACCUCCGUGACUACGGCGAAGACUACUUCCAAGUCAUCGACAACGGCUGCGGCAUUUCCCCA